rnacentral:rRNA from 1 species
AUGUCUGCGAGUGAUGGCGAGAAAAAUGUUGAUACAUCUAGUGAGAAAUCUGAAGAUGAUGAAAAAGUUACUGCGAGUUUUGACGCCGCAGAAGCAUACCCAUCAUUAAUGGUGCAACGAGUGCUAGAAGAUCGUGUUGAGGAUAAGGGGCAGCGAUGGAAUAUUUUUGAGUCUAAGUGUAAGAUCAACAACACCAAUUGCAAGUUGAUAAUAGAUGGUGGAAGCUACACCAAUGCAGUCAGCAAAGGGUUGGUUGAUGCUUUGGGGUUGCCUGAUGGAAGCACCCGCAACCCCAUCGUGUCGAGUGGAUGUAUCAUACAGGGAAGUUAA